GUAGGGAAUAUUGCGCAAUGGACGAAAGUCUGACGCAGCGACGCCGCGUGAGUGAUGAAGGCCUUAGGGUCGUAAAGCUCUGUUGAAUGGGAAGAAAAAAAUGACGGUACCAUUCGAGGAAGGACCGGCUAACUUCGUGCCAGCAGCCGCGGUAAUACGAGGGGUCCUAGCGUUGUUCGGAAUCAUUGGGCGUAAAGGGUGUGUAGGUGGCCAUGUAAGUCAGGUGUGAAAGCCCCGGGCUCACCCGGGAAGUGCACUUGAUACUGCGUGGCUUGAGUACCGAAGAGGGUAGUGGAAUUCCAGGUGUAGUGGUGAAAUACGUAGAUAUCUGGAGGAACACCGGUGGCGAAGGCGGCUACCUGGUCGAGUACUGACACUGAGACACGAAAGCAUGGGGAUCAAACAGGAUUAGAAACCCUUGUAGUCC
rnacentral:rRNA from 1 species